rnacentral:lncRNA from 1 species
CAGUGUUCUGUGAGAUACUGACACCUUUUAUUCAAAACUGAAAGUAAAGAAAUGGACAUUUAAGGAAAAUGAGAUAGCUUGUUUAUUUGUCAUAGCUAUAACAUGAGAACAUUGGCACUGAAAUUUGAAUCACAUUUGUUGGUCUUAAUCAUUGAUCUCCAAGAACAGGAGGAAGAACACAGCGACAUCAGUCCAGAUUGGAUCAUCCAAGGUGCCUCUGAGAACUCACUGGCAGCAAUUCCAGAGAGGGAAGAAUUGUAA